rnacentral:lncRNA from 10 species
CCAGGAUGGUCUUGAUCUCUUGACCUUGUGAUCCACCUGUCCUGGCCUCCCAAAGUGCUGGGAUUACAGGCAUGAGCCACCACCCCCAGGCCACUUGUGUCUUAAUUCCUCUUGAUAGUGCAUUUUAGUUUGUGUCACCCACCUCUGUAAGUUGAAAUACUUUUACCAUUUCAGUAACUUGAAAACAAACUGCUCAUUUUUCUUCUUUAUCAGUUAUGAAACUAAAUAUAUAAAAUCUUAUCCCUAGUCAUCCAGGAUUGACUGCUCCUUCUUCACAAGGGUCUCUGCAGGUCCCAGUAUACCAAACACACAGUAUUAAUCAAUAUUCAUGGAGUGAAUGAAAAAAAUGAAUGAAUGAAAGUGAUAUAUUUGCUACCUUACAGAUAACAUAUCUACUUUAGGCCGGACGCAGUGGCUCACACCUGUAAUCCCAGCACUUUGGAAGAUUGAGGUGGGCAGAUCAUGAGGUCAAGAGAUCGAGACCAACCUGGCCAAUAUGGUGAAACCUCGUCUCUACUAAAAAUACAAAAAUUAGCUGGGCAUGGUGGCGGGCGCCUGUAGUCCCAGCUAUUCUGGAGGCUGAGGCAGGAGAAUUGCUUGAACCCUGGAGGCGGAGGUUGCCGUGAGCUAACAUUGCGCCCCUACACUCCAGCCUGCCAACAGAGCAAGACUCCGUCUCAAAAAUAAAAAAAGGAUCUACUUUUGAGAAUACUGUCAUUGGUUGAUAAAAUACAGCAGAAACUUGUGAAGAAGCUAUUUUCCAGUAAGCUAAUUCAAGUUGUUUAGAACUAUAAUUGAAUAUCCAAUAAAAUUGUUAUGUAAAUAUGAUUGAUAUUGUUACUGAAAUAUCACAUGAAAACUCCUAAACUCCUUAAGUAAUUGAAAUAGUAUUAAUGUGAAAGAGCUCCUCUGAGACCUAAACUUAACUCCCCUACCAGCCACUUUUUAAGCCUAAAGAAAGGCUUUGUGGACACCAAAUCUACUAAGUCUUGAGUUUCUAGGCAUGAAGCUGAAGAAUCUCCACCACCUCUGAGGCUUUCAGGCAGGCAAGGCGGAGGAUACAGGGCUCUGGGAGAAGCCAGAUCACAUGAAUAAGAAUAGGCACAGCUGCAAAGAGGGAAGAGGACCACCCAAAAGUCUCCAAAAUUUGUUUCAUCAGGAAAAAUUUAAUCAGUACAGUAGUCCCCCUUUGCCUGUGGUUUACCUGCGGUACAGUACAGUAAGAUUUUUGUAAGAUUGGCAGAACUCUAAGUACAUUGAUGUAAUUUUUUUAUUAGUUACUGUGAAUGCCUUAUUAUGCCUAACUUAUGAAUUAAACUUUAUUAUUGUUAUGCAUGUAUAGUGGAAAACGUAGUGUAUAUAGGGUUCAAUGCUAUCUGAGCUUUCAGACAUCCACUGGGAGUCUUGGAAUGUAUUCUCCAUGGAUGGGGGGCCUGCUAUACCACUAUACAUGCAUUUUUAUUUAUAAAUGACAUUCUUGCACGUCUUGACUAAUAAGUAUAUUAUAAAAUGUAGAUAAAUGCUUAAAUUGAUAAACAUGGAUAAAAUGAAUAUUGAUAGUUGUUCUAAUGUUUGUUUUCCUGAACCACAAUUUGUUAUUUUGUACAACACUGGAAAGCACCAACUUUAUUUAGAGCGCACUAUUGUAGGAGACAUUGUAUUUUGGCAGAUUACAGAGCAAAGGUUCUGGCAAAGUGUGGAUGAGAACAUUGUGCUGGAGGCCUAAACUUGAGGCACUCAGAGCAGAAAAAAAUUCACAAUGUACGUUUACCCAGAUGGUUUCAACUGCGGGUGGUGUGACUCUUCCGACUUAGUGAAAAUGAGUGUGAUUAUCUACUCUCCGUCACUACUCGUUCAACUGUCAUGAAAUUCAACAACAUGUUAUAGAAGAAACCACAUUGCAAUGGGCAUGGAUAAACAUGAAUGCUAACCCUAGCUCUGCUAAUACCAUGUGGUCUAUCUUUGGGCAGUUCACAUCCUCUUUCUGAUUUAAUUUUCCCAUCUGAAAAUGAGGGUAUUGAGCUGAAUAAUACCUGACAGUCCUUCCAAAUCUAAGAUUCAAGGCCAUUUUUCAUGGGAUUUUGAAAAGAUGGAUAUCCUGCCUAAUUCAUGGGAGAUGGCUCUUAUCAGUUUUGUGAUUUGAGAUUACAAAAUCAGCUUUUUAAAAACAGACAGUACUAUCAUGUCCAUGCUCUUUUUGAUUGUAAGUUGAGUAAUUUUCUGGCAUUUAGUAUGUGGGAUAUUUUUACCAUUGAUUCUAUCAUUUAAAGUUUUUAUUAUGUAACAUUUCAAACACAUACAAGAGUUAAGAGAAUGAUAUAACGGUAUAAUGAAUCUCCAUAUAUCUGUCAUUCACCUUCAACAAUAAUCAAUCAAUUUAUGAUUAAUCUUGUGUCAUCUAUACUUCCAGCCACUCCCUCACUCUGUACCUCUAUGGUAUUAUUUAGAAGCAGAUCAUGGUCAUAUUAAUAUUCUUUUCUAAGCUUUUGGUAUUAUAAAUUUUGUAUCAAUAAAUAGUUUUGUGCAUAUAUUGUUUAAUAUUUUUGCCAAACCUCCAAGAGGUUUUAAGUCUUCCAUAUUGGACUUACAUAUUCUGUAUUGUACUUGAUUGGCCACCUAAGGAAAUGUUUCAAAGGUUAAAUUUUACAGACUUCAAAACCUAACUUCCUUGUAAGAUAUUUACCUACUGUAUGUGCAUCAUAUUCUUUUAAUCUCUUUCUUCCUUCUUCUCUUCCUUCUUCCUUUCUCUCACACCCAUCUCUGUCAUUUACUCCCAGGACUUCAAAUAUCAAAAAUUAUAUGAUAUCACCUUCCACAGAUACUGUCUUAUUUAUUUAAAUAAUUUAAUUUAAAAAUCAUUCUCACUAAAUUUAGCCUGGAUUUGAACACAUUGCUUCUUUAUGUCUUUAAGGU